GACGAACGCUGGCGGCGUGCUUAACACAUGCAAGUCAAACGGAAAGGCCCUGCUUGCAGGGUACUCGAGUGGCGAACGGGUGAGUAACACGUGGGUGAUCUGCCCUGCACUUCGGGAUAAGCCUGGGAAACUGGGUCUAAUACCGGAUAGGAGCCAUUUUUAGUGUGAUGGUUGGAAAGUUUUUUCGGUGUAGGAUGAGCUCGCGGCCUAUCAGCUUGUUGGUGGGGUAAUGGCCUACCAAGGCGGCGACGGGUAGCCGGCCUGAGAGGGUGGACGGCCACAUUGGGACUGAGAUACGGCCCAGACUCCUACGGGAGGCAGUAGUGGGGAAUAUUGCACAAUGGGCGCAAGCCUGAUGCAGCGACGCCGCGUGGGGGAUGACGGCCUUCGGGUUGUAAACUCCUUUCGCUAGGGACGAAGCUUUUUGUGACGGUACCUAGAUAAGAAGCACCGGCUAACUACGUG
rnacentral:rRNA from 1 species